ensembl:lncRNA MIR646HG MIR646 host gene
AACUCACCAUUAAAGGGACCAGCUUGACGAAGCUUCUGCUUUUGUGACUGUCUCCUAAUGACAGAAUUUAAGAGACACCAGAGGAUGGCACAUUUAUACUGAGCUUGCAGUUUCCUAAACAUGAAGAAGAUGAACGGCUCUCAGUUAAGCAGCACGGGUCAGAUAGGAGCUUGAAAUUGAAUAUUUGAGCUGACACGGGAGAGACAUACUUUUGAGAUUCCAAAUACGAUUUCUGUGGAGAAAACAAAAAAGGACUCUGUUUUUAAUUCAAAAGGGAGAAGUGAAAUUCUACCUCACUUUUUUAAAAGAAGAGCCUGGAAUUGGCCUAUCCGUCUUUUUCCCCGUUGGAUCACAGAGCAGAAAGGAAGGUGGGCGUUUGUGUUCUGGGUGUUGUCCACGCUGGACGUGCCAGCAUCUCCCACUGAGCCAGAUGUUCCAGGGCUAAGGCCAGUUUCAUUUGAAGGCACAGCCUUACUAUAUCAUAAACGAGGACACUGGGGAGGCCCUUCCAAUGCAGGCCAGACUUUUAGGGGCUCGACAGAACACAGCUGGAGAAACAUCCACACCACACGCGGUUUCACCUGCCACACGGCAGCCCGGGUGCCCGGAUCACUGUGUGUGGAGACUCAGGCUCACCGGCAAACCUCUUCCGGUUCCGGUCAGGGUGCUGCCUCCCUAUCCACUGGGAGUCCUUUUGCGUUUCAGAUGCUCCCAGGCUCUCCCGCAGUUUAAAGACUUAACUCAGCGGCUUUCAGGGCCUGUGGUUGAGGGACUCCGAAAGAACUGUUGCUGGUGGACCGGUUCAGGGUCUUGACUUCGCCACACAAAAGAACUUGAGAGCACGUCCAAAGUAAAGCUAAGACCUCUAGUACAGUGUUCAAUGGAACUGGUGAGAAAAGACGUCCUUGCUGUGUUCCUGAUAUGAAGAGGAAAGCAGUCCUUCUCCAUUAAGUAAAGUAUAAACCUUAGGUUUUUCAUAGAUGUCCUUUGUCAGAUUUCGAAAUUUCUCUGCUAUUCUCAUUUUGCUGAAAGUUUUAAAAAAUUAUUUAAAUAAC